rfam:Brachybacterium muris TCD-AY4 contig_23, whole genome shotgun sequence.
GUGAAUGACGCGGGGUGCCGUGCUGGUACGGCUGAGAUCACACCCGUUGAACCUGAUCUAGUUCGUACUAGCGAAGGGAACGUCGCCGAUGUCGGCA